AGUUACUGCCACCCUCUCCCAGGUCUAGAGAGGGGUACCCACGGUGGAGGGAGGUGGGAGGCCGAGACGGCCCCGGGGGUCGGCGGAGACCCAGCGGGAGCAGGGGGAAAUCGGAAGAGCUGGGGGCAUGGAGCGGGCGAGUUUGGAGCGGAAUGAGCCGGGAGCCCUACGUUGUGGAAGGAAGACAACAGUAUAGGACCAUCAGCAGGACCGGACAGAGAGGGGCACACCAGGCUGGCCUUGAACUCAGAAAUCCGCCUGCCUCUGACUCCCGAGUGCUGAGAUUAAAGGUGUGCACCACCACACCCGACAAGGAAGCCUGUUUUAAGAAGUGAUUCCAUGGAGGAGUUCUGCGGCGGCUCAGGGCUUGACUAAACAGUGGACCUCAGUAGACAAGAGAGGCUAAACCAGGCUGCAGGUGACAGGAAGAAUUGAAUAAACUGAAAGCAAAGGGCAGCCUUCUAAUUACGCUUCGUGGCUAUGUGGACAACCUGGAGAAGUCUGGAAACCUUUCCUCCUCCAUUUUACUACUUGAGGGAGCAGUGGGUGGGAUACUAGAAAGAAGCCAGAAGCCCGAAGCCAGCAGUAGAGCUCUGACUGGCUUGUAUGCCUAGAAAGGAAGGGCUCUUCUUUCGCCUCACGGGCACAAAUGGGACCCACGAGCGCCGAUUUCAGACUAUUCUGAUCCCUUCAAAAAGAAAGUUAGGAGUCCAGGCUACUGUGAGUGAAUUUGAUUCUAAUUGUUUCAGAGAAUAUGGAAUAAAAUAUCUCAUUUGCA
rnacentral:lncRNA from 1 species